ensembl:lncRNA
CUACUGCACUGUUGCAUACUUGCGUUACAGUAGCCUUGGCUAUGUGGACAUAGCCUUGGUUAUUAGAAGCUGUAGACUGGAGCACAGAGGAAUGGGACAACACUGAGAAAGUGGGGACAACAGUAUUUCAUCAAAAAGAAGCUCAUUUCCUUCCAGGAGCAGACCACACAGAAAACAUGGACACGGAUUACUUUAUCAGGUCCUGCUGUCACCCAAAGGCUCAUCCCUGCAGAGCUCAGGGGUCUGGCUUCAUGACUCGGCUUUAAACGGACGCUCAGCUUUCCUAGGAAUAGCUAGCACUGCUUGGAAGUGAUUUAUGGAAACACUGCUGCAUCACCUCUGAUCUACCUAUGCUGCACUCAAGCAACAUAAUCUAAACUAGGUGUACCUGGUGAUGCCAUUUUUUAAAAUGAAAAAUGUUCAAAAAUCACACCGAAGGCUGUAACAAUAAAAGACAGUUACCAG